rnacentral:rRNA from 1 species
UACGGGGGGGGCAAGCGUUGUUCGGAAUUACUGGGCGUAAAGGGCUCGUAGGCGGCCAACUAAGUCGGACGUGAAAUCCCUCGGCUUAACCGGGGAACUGCGUCCGAUACUGGAUGGCUAGAGUUCGGGAGAGGGAUGCGGAAUUCCAGGUGUAGCGGUGAAAUGCGUAGAUAUCUGGAGGAACACCGGUGGCGAAGGCGGCAUUCUGGACCGACAUUGACGCUGAGGAGCGAAAGCCAGGGGAGCAAACGGG